rnacentral:lncRNA from 1 species
GAAGAAAAAGGAACCUAAAUAUCUACCCCAGUCAAUUCAAAAACGGCUGGAUACCAUUAAUUCUCUUGAUUUGUUAUUUCAAAAUUCAAUCCAUUCUGACGAUAGUAGUUUCCAAGGAUAAGACUUUACUUGAUAUCAUCUUUUGAAAUCAUUUCCCUCAAACACUCCUUCAGUCUGUAUUUUUUAGCCAUCUUCUCUGCAAAGCGAAAAUAUGGUGCUUUAGCUCUUCUCCCAUCAGGUAAAAGGUUUCUCCUCUAUCAAGAGCGUCUUUUGCUAGUCUAUAUGCAUGCGAGUUCCCUAAUCUGUGAAUAUGCUGAAAGAUAAUCUCUUGAAAACAAGGUUUCUUAUUCUGAAUGUCUUUGAUAAUAGCUUCAAUCACUGAUUUAUUUGUUAAAUUCAUUUGGUAUUUUUUGAUUAUUAUUUUGGAGUCCCUAUAAGUUUAACCGAUUGAAGUCCCAGUGAGAUCCCUAACUUUGUGCCUUCUAAACAUGCAUACGCUUUUGCUGCAAAUGGGGAGGAAAUAUUAUUGUGAAUGAUCGUCUUUAAGACCAGUAGUUCCCCCCUCAGAUCCUAACCCACCAGACCUGCUGCUGAUUUGAAGUUUCUACUAUCAAACGCUGCAUCGAAAUGGAUCGUUAUUCUCGGUAUGUCCUCCUGGAUUCUGUAAUUUCUGUUCAUAUUAGCAGGAAUCUUAAUUGCUUUCAUUCCUUCAUAUUUUGCCAUAUGCCUCUGUAUGUUUUGUGCUAAAACUACUCCUGUUGUACUUUUCCCCUCAUGUAUGAAUUGAUUUCUGGAAAACCAUAUUAACCAUAAAGCAUAACAGAAGAGUCGGCAUUGAGCGUCGUUACCUCUCUUGAAAAUCCAAGUUAGCCACUCCCUUAGAAUUUGAUUCAUAUUAUUCAUGACCCAGGACAAAUUUAAAAACUGCCAAACUUCUGUUGUUGUAGGACAUUCACGGAAGAUAUGAAGGCUAUCUUCUGCCCAGGAGCAGCAACGGGGACAUCUGUCGUUUGAAAUGACUUCUCUGUACCUGAGAUUAGCAAGAUUAGGAAUAAAAUCCCAGGAAAUUCGCCAAAUAGUGAUUACGAUUUUUGAAGGUAGCUGGAGGCUCCAUAAUUUCCUGUAAAAUUCUUUAGUUUCGGUCUAUAAUAAAUAAUUAGUAGGAUCCAGAAUAGCAUAUUGUAACUGCGUAUUGAAUACUCGCCGGAUAAUUCUCCUUUCCAGACUUGAGUAACCUCGUGAUCAGUCUCUGCAAGAGGGAUCUGUAGAAUUUUUUGAGCAAUUUCUGCUUGAAAGGUACUAUUAAUCAAAUCCGACCUCCAUUUUCUGUUUGUAUUAUCAAUAAGAUCCGAGACUAACUGUAAUUCCCUAUUGUUUGAUCUAUUAUGUCCAUCAACUGUAUCAAUCCCCCGUAUCCAGCUAUCUUCCCAAAUAGAAAUUUUGUCUCCUUUGCCCACUCUCCAGCACAUCCCUUUUUGGAGAAGUCCCUUUGCUGCCCAAAUACUCUUCAGGUAAGUGAAGGUAAAUUUCCCAAACUCUGCAUUUAGAAAACUUGAUUGCGGAUAGUACUUUGCUUUUAAAACUCUGGCUAAUAAAGAAUUUGGAUAAUUAAUAAGGCGCUAACCCUGUUUGGCUAAUAAUGCAAUAUUAAAUUGACCAAGAUUUCGAAAACCUAAACCACCAUUUUCUUUUAAGGAACAAAGGUUUUUCCAAAUGCACCAAUAAAUUCCCCUUUUUCCAUGUCCCUUUUGCCACCAGAACCUCGCAACGAUACUUUUGAGUUCAUCACAUAAAACUUUAAGUAAUAAAAAACAAGCCAUCGUGUAAUCACAUAAAACUUUAAGUAAUAAAAAACAAGCCAUCGUGUAAGUUGGUAUAGCUUGAAGAAUGACCUUUAUAAAUACUUCCUUUCCACCCUGAGAUAUAUUGUAACACCCCUUACCCGUAUUCGACACCGGAAUAGGGUAUGAGGCAUUACUAGAACACAUACACUUAUAAACAUGUUAAACUAAGUUAUAAAAUUUUAUUCAAAUUUAAACUCUUCACGUUAUAACUUCAAAAUACUAUAUUUGUAACAAAUAGGGCAUCUAAGACCUAAUACAUAUUCAUGCAAUCCAAUAGUUCAUUUCCAUUUCAUUUAAUUCACGAUUCUCAUGUUCACGAUUUAAUUCAAUUUCUCAAUCCCAAUAUACAUUUCAAUACCACAUUAAUCAUUUAAUUCACGUACAGUUCAAUUUCAUAAAGUUCAAUACUAAUACAUAUUUAUCGUUUAACUUAAUGUCCCCUUUUUACGUCAUUUUACACUUUAAGCAUGAACUUAGUAUUUCGUUUCUUUUCCACUCCCGUUUCCUAUGCAUAUCGCACAAGAUAUAAAUAUAUCAUUCAACCAUAGUCACAAGCUAAUGCAUUUAACCAUAGUAUUUUUCGAAUUGAUCACAUGAUAAGUCAUUUCAUAAGAAAUUGCAUAAUCUAAACCUUACCACUUUUUAGUGAGCGCUAGCAUACUUUCACUUAAAUACUUUCCAAUUCAAUGCAUUAUAUAAAAAAUCAUAAUACCAUUCAACCAAUAGCUUGGCACUUGCCUAAGCAUCAAGCAAGAAUACUAGUUAGUGUACUUGCACACAUUACAUAUAAACUCAUCAUGUAUAAUUUUCUUGCUUCAACAUAUUAAAGAUAAUCAUACAUUUACAUGUCAUGAUACAUAUCAUUCUCUUAUCAUUUCUUAAUAGGCAUAUAUCAUUCAUUUCAUUAUUUCGAUAUUUCAUGUACCAUCAUUUUCAUGAAUUUCGCGUACAUACCGGUAAUAGUUUAUUUUAAACUCAUGUUAUCUCACUUCAGAACUUUACCCGUUAUAUCAUUUAAAUAUCAAUGGUUACAUUUAUUUUAGAUCAAUACCAAUAAUAAUCUUUCAAUCUUUCAAUUCAACCACAUAAGUCUUUUACCAUUUCUUUCUGUAUCGAAGAACGACUUACGAAUAUGAGUACAUCGUUUUUAGAAGCUCGAAGGCCGAACUUAAGCUCAUGAGAGCUAAGCAGAUAGUAAACACGAAAGUCCGCAACAAAUGCUAAACCUCGGUUUACUUUGGUAAUUUGCCGUCAAUUCAUCCUUUACAUUUGUAAUGCCAUAACCCAGUUAUGGUCUUAUCCGUCAAUUCAUCCUUUGGUGCAGAACGAUUGUACUCAAUCCCGCGUUCAAUCCAAACUGGGUAUUAAAUUCGAUAAUAUAUUUCCAAUAACAAUUCAAUUCCAUGUUUUCUAUUACCCUUAUUAUUUACCAAAUUUAUCCCGUUGAAUUUCUCGGAAAUUCGAUAGAUUUUCAGAGGUACACUUUUAGUGUACAAAUUCGAGUCCGUCAAUUCAUAUUCAUGUGUGCACAUUUCCAUUUCAGAUAGCACACUCCCGCGAACCUCGUUCUUAUAGCGGGAUUACCAAUCCAGGCUAAAUCCCCUGUAAGAGAGCACAUUCCCACAAACCUUAUUCCUUACAGUGGGAUUACCAGUCCAGGCUAAAUCCCCUGUAAUAUAAACUCAUAGAGUAUUGUCGGGAUUACCAGUCCAGGCUAAAUCCCCUGCAACGACAAUUACUCUAAUGAGCUUGGAUCUGAAUUACCAGUCCAAGCUAAAUUCAAACCCUAAUUCGGAUUGCUCGUCCGGGCUAAAUCCAUUUCCACAUAUUCUUUGGGAGGGCUAUAUCAAGAUCACCUGUCCGGGCUAGAUCUUUUUCACACAUAUUCUUCGGGAGGGCUAUAUCAAGAUAGGAUCACCCGUUCGGGCUAGAUCUUUUUUACCGUCAAUUCCUUUUUAG